rnacentral:rRNA from 1 species
AUUGAACGCUGGCGGCAGGCCUAACACAUGCAAGUCGAGCGAGCGGCGGACGGGUGAGUAAUGUCUGGGAAACUGCCUGAUGGAGGGGGAUAACUACUGGAAACGGUAGCUAAUACCGCAUACCAUCAGAUGUGCCCAGGUGGGAUUAGCUAGUAGGUGGGGUAACGGCUCACCUAGGCGACGAUCCCUACCUGGUCUGAAAGGAUGACCAGGCACAAUGGAACGGAGAAACGGUCCCGACUCCAACGGGAGGCAGCAGUGGGGAAUAUUUGGCAAUGGGCGCAAGCCUGAUACAGCCAUGCCGCGUGUGUGAAUAAGGCCUUCGGGUUGUAAGGCACUUUCAGCGGGGAGGCGUUACCCGCAGAGGAAGCACCGGCUAACUCCGUGCCAUCAGCCGCGGUAAUAC